UGGGGAAUUUUGGACAAUGGGCGAAAGCCUGAUCCAGCAAUGCCGCGUGUGUGAAGAAGGCCUUCGGGUUGUAAAGCACUUUUGUCCGGAAAGAAAUCCUCUGGGUUAAUACCUCGGGGGGAUGACGGUACCGGAAGAAUAAGCACCGGCUAACUACGUGCCAGCAGCCGCGGUAAUACGUAGGGUGCAAGCGUUAAUCGGAAUUACUGGGCGUAAAGCGUGCGCAGGCGGUUUUGUAAGACGGAUGUGAAAUCCCCGGGCUUAACCUGGGAACUGCAUUCGUGACUGCAAGGCUAGAGUAUGGCAGAGGGGGGUUAGAAUUCCACGUGUAGCAGUGAAAUGCGUAGAGAUGUGGAGGAAUACCGAUGGCGAAGGCAGCCCCCUGGGCCAAUACUGACGCUCAUGCACGAAAGCGUGGGGAGCAAACAGGAUUAGAUACCCUGGUAGUCCACGCCCUAAACGAUGUCAACUAGUUGUUGGGGAUUCAUUUCCUUAGUAACGUAGCUAACGCGUGAAGUUGACCGCCUGGGGGAGUACGGUCGCAAGAUUAAAACUCAAAUGAAUUGACGGGGUCAUAGCUGUUUCCU
rnacentral:rRNA from 1 species